AGUAGCGGCGAGCGAACGGGGAGGAGCCCAGAGCCUGAAUCAGUGUGUGUGUUAGUGGAAGCGUCUGGAAAGGCGCGCGAUACAGGGUGACAGCCCCGUACACAAAAAUGCACAUGCUGUGAGCUCGAUGAGUAGGGCGGGACACGUGGUAUCCUGUCUGAAUAUGGGGGGACCAUCCUCCAAGGCUAAAUACUCCUGACUGACCGAUAGUGAACCAGUACCGUGAGGGAAAGGCGAAAAGAACCCCGGCGAGGGGAGUGAAAAAGAACCUGAAACCGUGUACGUACAAGCAGUGGGAGCACGCUUAGGCGUGUGACUGCGUACCUUUUGUAUAAUGGGUCAGCGACUUAUAUUCUGUAGCAAGGUUAACCGAAUAGGGGAGCCGAAGGGAAACCGAGUCUUAACUGGGCGUUAAGUUGCAGGGUAUAGACCCGAAACCCGGUGAUCUAGCCAUGGGCAGGUUGAAGGUUGGGUAACACUAACUGGAGGACCGAACCGACUAAUGUUGAAAAAUUAGCGGAUGACUUGUGGCUGGGGGUGAAAGGCCAAUCAAACCGGGAGAUAGCUGGUUCUCCCCGAAAGCUAUUUAGGUAGCGCCUCGUGAAUUCAUCUCCGGGGGUAGAGCACUGUUUCGGCAAGGGGGUCAUCCCGACUUACCAACCCGAUGCAAACUGCGAAUACCGGAGAAUGUUAUCACGGGAGACACACGGCGGGUGCUAACGUCCGUCGUGAAGAGGGAAACAACCCAGACCGCCAGCUAAGGUCCCAAAGUCAUGGUUAAGUGGGAAACGAUGUGGGAAGGCCCAGACAGCCAGGAUGUUGGCUUAGAAGCAGCCAUCAUUUAAAGAAAGCGUAAUAGCUCACUGGUCGAGUCGGCCUGCGCGGAAGAUGUAACGGGGCUAAACCAUG
rnacentral:rRNA from 1 species